CUGUAUUAGCAAAUAAAAUAAAUAAAUAAUAGAGCAUAUUUUUUUUAACAAUGCUUACUGAUUUCUACUGGUAAUAUUUGGAUUUUUGAACCAUUUUUUUUUUUUUUUUACAGUAAUUCUCUACACUCAAAAUAAAUUUGUAAUCUCUUCUGAAUCAGUAAGUAUAUAUGUUUUAUAUUGCUAUAUUUCAUGUAACGUUUCAUUGUGGGUCACUUUAUUCCACUAUUGUACAGUGCUCUUGUAAAUACAAUUUAAGAAAAUAAAAAUGAUACAAUAACCAACAGUGCCUUUUCUGUGUGAUUAUUAAUGUUUGAUAGCCAAAAUAACUUUCUACGUUUUCUAUACUUAGACCUUGAUAUAAUUUGUUUAAAUAUUCAGAGAUAUAAUUUUUUAUUUGUGCGGUAACAGCUUCUUGACCAAGGAGAUAUCUGACUGCCAUUCUGGGGAUGAGAAGAGUUUUUUUUUUUUUUUUUUUUUUUUUUUUUUUUUUUUUUUUUUUUUUUUUUUUUUUUAGUCUGUUGCAAAAUUGAAAAGUGCUUCAGACUGGGUUUUUGGAUGUGUGAGAGGCUGAACUUGAUGGCUGCACAGCUAUUUUCAGCUAUGUAAGUAAAUCAGCAUCCAAAGUGAUUCCAAUCUGGUAAUAAAAACAUUUUUUACUAAAUUUCCAUAGACUUUAAAGGAACACUAUAGUGUCAGGAACACAAACAUGUAUUCCUGACCCUAUAGUGCUAAAACCACCAUUUAGGUGAUUGAAUCAAUGCAUCUCUAUGAGGAAAGUGCAAGCGUGGAGGCGCUGAACAGCAGUGCUGGACACUUUGCAGCACUGCCCCAGCACUGCCUGGCUAUCUGAGGAGUGGCCACUGCAGGGGUGCCUAGGGGGCAACGUAAACACUGCCUUUUCUCUGAAAAGCCAGUGUUUGCAUGGAAAAGCCUGCAGGGAAUGAUUAUACUCACCAGAACAACUACAUUAAGUUGUAAUUGUUCUGGUAACUAUAGUGUUCCUUUAGUGAUGACUACUGCAGAUAAAUAAUUUUUAUUUUAUUUCUCCCCCCCCAACAGAUUGUAAUAAUUUCUGAUGCUUAUUCAAACCAAUUUGAUCAAGGCUUUGAUUUGAUUUUUUAUUUUUUUUCAUAGGAUCUCAGAAUAUUUGGUUCGCAUGAAUGAUUACAGUUCUCAACAGCAAUAAAACUGACAGUAAAUCAUCAUGCAUCAAAUAAACUCACUGUAAUAUGCAAUGUAUGGAUAUGAGCUCCACAGAAACAAACAUUACAAAAAUGUGCUAUGUGUACGAGUGCGUCAAAUAUCUCCACGUAAACAACAUGCAUAAUAAUACAUGCUUAUUUUACAGUAAAUACGUUGACACAUCUGUCCGUCUGCUUGGCCUGUUGAAUUUAUAUUGGUUAUCUUCCAAAUGGUUUGCACAGUUUUGUAUAAAAUAGC